rnacentral:rRNA from 1 species
GACGAACGCUGGCGGCGUGCUUAACACAUGCAAGUCGAACGGAAAGGCCCUGCUUGUGUGGGGUGCUCGAGUGGCGAACGGGUGAGUAACAAGGGAGUAACCUGCCCUUGACUUUGGGAUAACUUCAGGAAACUGGGGCUAAUACCGGAUAGGAGCUCCUGCUGCAUGGUGGGGGUUGGAAAGUUUCGGCGGUUGGGGAUGGACUCGCGGCUUAUCAGCUUGUUGGUGGGGUAGUGGCUUACCAAGGCUUUGACGGGUAGCCGGCCUGAGAGGGUGACCGGCCACAUUGGGACUGAGAUACGGCCCAGACUCCUACGGGAGGCAGCAGUGGGGAAUAGUGCACAAUGGGCGGAAGCCUGAUGCAGCAACGCCGCGUGCGGGAUGACGGCCUUCGGGUUGUAAACCGCUUUCGCCUGUGACGAAGCGUGAGUGACGGUAAUGGGUAAAGAAGCACCGGCUAACUACGUG